AGGCUUUGAUCCUGGCUCAGGAUGAACGCUGGCGGCGUGCUUAACACAUGCAAGUCGAACGAACCUACGGGUUAGUGGCGGACGGGUGAGUAACGCGUGAGAAUCUGCCCUCAGGAGGGGGAUAACGGCUGGAAACGGCCGCUAAUACCCCAUAUGCCGAGAGGUGAAAGGUUAACUGCCUGAGGAUGAACUCGCGUCUGAUUAGCUAGUUGGUGGGGUAAGGGCUCACCAAGGCGACGAUCAGUAGCUGGUCUGAGAGGAUGAUCAGCCACACUGGGACUGAGACACGGCCCAGACUCCUACGGGAGGCAGCAGUGGGGAAUUUUCCGCAAUGGGCGAAAGCCUGACGGAGCAACGCCGCGUGAGGGAUGAAGGCCUCUGGGCUGUAAACCUCUUUUCUCAAGGAAGAAGAUCUGACGGUACUUGAGGAAUAAGCCACGGGUAUAUCCGUG
rnacentral:rRNA from 1 species